rnacentral:lncRNA from 1 species
UCAUUUGUUUAAGAAUUAAGGUAUGAAAAAUUUCGAGGACGAAAUUUCUUUUAAGGGGGGAAGAAUGUAAAUCCCGGCCUAUCUGAAAAAUUGGGAGGAAUGGCGGUGGAGAUCGGCAACUGUUGAGGCGGUUAUAACCGCCUGACAGCCACGAUCACCACCACUUCUCCCUCCCCGCCGAGGCCUAUAAAAACCCAAAAACUAUUCUAAGAGAUUCUUCAUCCCUCACCCUCUCACUGCCUCUCAUUCCCUUUUCCUUCUGUGUAACGGAAACGGA